GAGACUCGGUGAAUUUUACAUACUUUCCCAGUUCUUUCUGUUUUUGAAGUUCCUCUCCGUUGAAACAACUACAAAAUAUGUAAAAUUGAGGAUGACGGCGUUGUGCUUCUCACUCGCACCACCAUAAUAUCAGUCUGUAUUUUGCAUCCUACUUGCACGCACACAACUUUUCCAAAACUGCCGGUUAAGUCUUUCCGAAAUCAUCAAAAUUUCUUUGCUCCUCUCGGAAAGUUGUUGGUUUCCUCUAGGUCCCGAAGCGACAUGCCGAUUCCACCAUAGUCCCGGCCGCAACCAAGUCAACCAGAAAGCAUGGCCCCAGAAUCAGCAGCCCAAUGACCAGCCCAAGCUAACCGAUGUCCCGAAGUGACCAAUGCUAUAACGGUG